rnacentral:sRNA from 1 species
ACCUCCCUACCCCAGCAUCCUGACAGAUGCCACCAUGGAGAAGCUGGCACUGGCCAAAUUUGUGGCCCAAGAAUCGAAGUGUGAGGCAUCUGCUGUCACCGUGCGCUUCUACGGCCUUGUGCACUGGGAGGACCCCACAGACGAGUCCCUGGGCCCCACACCCUGCCACUGCUCACCCCCCGAGGGUACCAUCACCAAAGAAGGCAUGCUGCACUACAAGGCGGGCACCUCCUACCUGGGCAAGGAACACUGGAAGACGUGCUUCGUGGUGCUCAGCAAUGGGAUCCUCUACCAGUACCCAGACCGCACCGAUGUCAUCCCUCUGCUCUCGGUGAACAUGGGGUCAUUCUCUCCGACCGGCCCUGCCUGGAGCUGAGUGCUGAGAGCGAGGCCGAGAUGGCCGAGUGGAUGCAGCAUCUCUGCCAGGCUGUGUCCAAAGGGGUCAUCCCCCAGGGCGUAGCUCCCAGCCCCUGCAUCCCCUGCUGCCUGGUCCUCACGGAUGACCGCCUCUUCACGUGCCAUGAGGAUUGCCAGACCAGCUUCUUCCGCUCUUUGGGCACAGCCAAGCUGGGCGACAUCAGUGCCGUCUCCACCGAGCCGGGCAAGGAGUAUUGCGUCUUGGAGUUCUCCCAGGACAGCCAGCAGCUCCUCCCGCCCUGGGUCAUCUACCUGAGCUGCACUUCUGAACUGGACCGAUUGCUGUCUGCACUGAACUCUGGGUGGAAAACCAUCUAUCAGGUGGACCUCCCCCACACGGCAAUCCAGGAAGCCUCCAACAAGAAGAAAUUCGAGGAUGCCUUGAGCCUCAUCCACAGCGCCUGGCAGCGGAGCGACAGUCUCUGCCGCGGCCGAGCCUCCCGAGACCCCUGGUGCUGAGGCAGAGCUGGUUGGCGUCCCUGGAGGGCAGGAAAGGAAGGCACGCCAGCCGGCAGGCACACUGUCAUGGCUGUUGUCAUGCUGUCGGGAGCCUACAGCCCACCCCUGCCCCGGGCGGCAGAACCACCGAGUGUGGCUUAAGACAGGGUCCCUCCACUCCAGGGAUCCAGGUCAGGUGCCC